rnacentral:lncRNA from 1 species
CAGUUUAAGAAAACCUAUGCUUGUUCUUAUCACAUGGCCAGUGGUUAUGAGGUGAGUUACUCAGCAAAAAGCCCACUCUUAGACAACCUCUAAGCACUAACUAAGACAUACUUAAAGCAAAGCACAAAUACAUGGAAAGGACAUAAAAGUCUUCAUCAAACACUACAUACAAGUCUUCAUCAAACACAAUCUUGAAGGGGC